rnacentral:rRNA from 1 species
UAGGGAAUCUUCCACAAUGGACGCAAGUCUGAUGGAGCAACGCCGCGUGAGUGAAGAAGGCUUUCGGGCGUAAAACUCUGUUAUUGAAGAAGAACGUGUGUGACAGUAACUGGUCAUGCAGUGACGGUAUUCAAUCAGAAAGUCACGGCUAACUACGUGCCAGCAGCCGCGGUAAUACGUAGGUGGCAAGCGUUGUCCGGAUUUAUUGGGCGUAAAGCGAGUGCAGGCGGUCUUUUAAGUCNGAUGUGAAAGCCUUCGGCUUAACCGAAGAAGGGCAUCGGAAACUGGGAGACUUGAGUGCAGAAGAGGAGAGUGGAACUCCAUGUGUAGCGGUGAAAUGCGUAGAUAUAUGGAAGAACACCAGUGGCGAAGGCGGCUCUCUGGUCUGUAACUGACGCUGAGGCUCGAAAGCGUGGGUAGCAAACAGGNUUAGAUACCCUGGUAGUCCACGC